CAGGCCUUCCACCCCUUUCCCUGAUCUGCUGCAGCACCGGUACCAGCAGCUCUGGGUGCAGGAACAAAAGGCCACCCAGAAAGCCAUUAAACUGGAGAAAAAGCACAAGGUGAUGCUCGGAAAGCUUUAUGAGACUCGGAGCAGUCAGCUGAGGAGGUACAAGCCCCCCGUGAAGCUGGAUGCCCUCUGGCACAUGCCUCAUUUCCAGAAGGUGGGCCCCCAUCUCGAUACCUUUCCCACUGAGGCUGACCGCCAGAGAGCAUUCAAAGCCCACCAGGAGGAGUCUGCUGCGUGCCAGGGGACCCUGCGGAUGGGCAACUACACCCACCCCUAAAGCCUUCUUGACACAGAAAAUUCCUGAAGGACUCACCUUUCUCGCUCCAACUCACAUGACACUACCCCAUUUUUAUGCAGGUUCUUUUCAGUUGGGACCUCAGAGUCAGGCCUUAGAUUCAUUAUUUUCGGUAAGAGUCCCUCUCUUUAGGUUGGCCAACACUAGCUUGCCUUAGUCCUGGCAGCCUUCUACCUAGGAACACCCCCUUUUCUGGAGGCCACCUACCCUUUCUUCUCAAGCCCCCACCUGAUAAGACAAACCCAAAUUACAGGGCAGAUAUUAGACUCCAGGCUGAGGGUCAUUUCCAAGGCUCUGCCCAUUAAGUUAAGAACAGCCCCUGUGUUGACCACAGAAAGCAUGACAGUAACAUGAAAGUCCUCACUUUCAUAUUCCAGACCUGAGUUCUAAUUGCUCUUUGUGGGAUUCCUGAGGUCUCACCUCGACAGUGUGAUCUCUUUGAAACCCCUGACAACAGGAUGAGCCGAUGCUUAGGCCUGAGGGCCUCCUCCCACCCCCCCAAUGCUGGGGCCCUAUUGCUCAAGCAGACCGAGAUGGGCUUCUCCACCAAGACCAACUUUUGAAGAGCCUUCUGGGUCAGGGGGCCGGCUGGAAAUGCGUAGGCCAAGGGAUGCCUCAGCCAAACUCCAGGCACUUCUUACCUCAGUCUUUCUUCAUGUUCUUUGGCUUCUUCCCACAAAUUAUAGACAGAUUCAUUUUCAAUUAAAAAUGCUAUUUGUCA